rfam:Colletotrichum higginsianum, IMI 349063, WGS project CACQ02000000 data, contig: cont1.1304
ACAUACGUCCAUACCCACUGGAGAACUCGGGAUCCCGUCCGCUCUCCCAUAGAUAAGCCAGUGAGGGCCGGAUUGGUAGUUGGGUCGGUGACGACCAGCGAAUACCUGGUGUUGUAUGUU